ensembl:lncRNA
UAUCAAUGGCUUGAAAUGAAAUGAUGAAGUGUGAUAGCGGCAUGGCGUCUGUUGGACCAGCUGCCACUGGGACUUGAUCAGACCUCCAGUCAAUUAUUCAGCAAACAGCAUGUGCACAAAGAGUUUAGCAUAGACUGGGAGAUGGUUGACUCUCAGCAGGGGAGCCAGUGAAGUGCAUCAAAGAAAUUAAAAUUACCAGAAUCACAGGGUGAGCAAAAACUGAUUUAAUAAAUCUGUUUGACUUUCUCAAAAAUCAACAUUAUGCACUCUGGUGCACUUCUAUUGCAGAUUCAGUAUUUUUUUUUAUGAUAUUUCAUGCAUUUAAAUUGGAAAACAUGUCAUGACGUCAUUUUCGUUGUCAUCAGUAAAUAUGGCCGAUUGUGAAAUAGCUGUCUUGUCAUCAAAGCUUGUGUAGCCAUUCUGGAGAAACUGUGAAUGAAUGAGUUAGCUGUCACUAUCAUGGACUUUUAGUUUGUUUUCUUUCCUCAUGUUUCCCUUGACCUAGUUUCCCUCGUGUCUGAUUACUUCAUUCUGUUCACCUAUGUCUGGUUAAUUAUCUUUAUUUGUCUGUGUAUUUAAGUUCCUGUCAGUUCAGUUAGUGUUUGUCAAGUCUCUUCAGUGUCAUCCUGUGUGUUUACCCUUCCUCUUGUGGAUUUACCUGCUGUGUCGAUAUAAUAUAAUUUUACCUUAAUCAUUUUCAUGAGUGUUUUGAAUGCACCGGAGUGUGACAGAACAUCCGACCAAACAAGAAGUUUAGCGGUGCAUUUCCCCUUGUUUGUUUUCUUGUUUUUGAAAGUGUUUUUUUUUUUUAAUGGAUCACCCCGAAUUCCUCCAACUUACCCUCGAGGACCACACAAGACUAUUUCUGGACAUUGCCAACAAUACCAGCUACCUGGACGACGUGCUCUGCUCUGCUACAUGGUGAGCCUCAACACCGCGUGCAGUUGUCCAGAGACGGACCUCGAGGGAAUUUCGCUGCCUUUGUGGAGUGGGAAACAGAUUGGAGGCAUAGCCAAAAAAAAAGCAUAAGCAGAAGCAACCACAGGUGCUGGUGAGAAAUGGAUUCCAGUUCACUGUCUGCCACGCCUGAUGAGGAACUUGCCAGCCCCACUCCGGACCCAGAGUCCAGCCAAAUACCACCCGCUGUGCGGAGCAACAGCCAGAUUCCACCGCUGACAGACAGCCAGAGUCCACUGUGACUGAUGAGCCAUCGCCUAAUGGAGUGACAGGGCUGAAGAUCACCCCGGACACAGAGACUUAUGAAACGUCUGACCAGGUGUGUAAGCCAGCAACAAUGUCCGCCAUGGAGGAUUGUACAGUGGAGAGCGAGGGCAUGGAGGAAAGCCCUGCCCACAGUGCCACCACUGAGGGUGAGCUGCUAAUGGACUCAGGGGAUUUAACAGACUUUUAUUCUGAAAUACCUCCUCUCCUGUCUUCUGAACUCUCUACCUGUUCUGAUACAACCAUGGAGGUAAUGCCCAAACUGUCUAUCUGCCCUGAACAGUCUGUCUGUUUGGUCUCAACCAUGGAUGUCAUUCCUUUAUCUCUGGUGCCCCCAGUGUUGAGAGUGGCCAUCUGGUUUGUGUGUGGGGGGGGCAGCACACACCAUCCCUGAAUCCCCGGACCGCUCAAAACUCCCACCCAGCCUCCCUCUCCCACCACCUCUUCAUCAGUCCUCACCACCACCUCCGCUGUCCCCUGUCAGCCCCUAAGCUCACCCUCAGUCCACCAUCUCUGAUGUGGGUUUGCUUCGUGUCUGCCAAUCUCCAUCGGCGUUGUGGCUGGAGGUUCCCUUGAUCUGCAGUAGAACUUGCCAGUUGAUGCUUCCGGCUUUGCUACCGUUCGGACGUUCUAGCUUACUAACACUACUGCUGUUUAAUGUUUAAGCGGAGGGAAUAAUGAAACAUGCUCAACUAAACAGUUCAUUGUAGCGAUGGAAAGUCAGAUUCAUUCUGAAAUGAUUUGUCCUAAAUGUGUAACUUUGGAAAGCAAUUCAUUCCAAUAAAUCUGUUUGUUCUAAACA